rnacentral:tRNA from 1 species
ACUCUCUUAGUAUAAUCAGUACUGCUGACUUCCAAUCAGCCAGAUUCAGCUAUACCCUGAAAGAGAGUA